UACGGGGGGGGUAAGCGUUGUUCGGAAUUACUGGGCGUAAAGGGCUCGUAGGCGGCCAACUAAGUCAUACGUGAAAUCCCUCAGCUUAACUGGGGAACUGCGUGUGAUACUGGAUGGCUUGGAUUUGGGAGAGGGAUGCGGAAUUCCAGGUGUAGCAGUGAAAUGCGUAGAUCUCGAGAGGAACACCAGUGGCGAAGGCGGGUCUCUGGACAACACCUGACGCUGAGGCACGAAAGCCAGGGGAGCAAACGGG
rnacentral:rRNA from 1 species